AACGAACGCUGGCGGCAUGCCUAACACAUGCAAGUCGAACGAGACCUUCGGGUCUAGUGGCGCACGGGUGCGUAACGCGUGGGAAUCUGCCCCUCGGUUCGGAACAACAGUUAGAAAUGACUGCUAAUACCGGAUAAUGACGAAAGUCCAAAGAUUUAUCGCCGAGGGAUGAGCCCGCGUAGGAUUAGCUUGUUGGUGGGGUAAUGGCCCACCAAGGCGACGAUCCUUAGCUGGUCUGAGAGGAUGAUCAGCCACACUGGGACUGAGACACGGCCCAGACUCCUACGGGAGGCUGCCUGAGACUACCAAGGCACACAGGGGAUAGG
rnacentral:rRNA from 1 species